rnacentral:lncRNA from 13 species
GCAGAGCCUAAACAGCAUAAAAGGAGCAUUUAUUGUCAUGAAUAUUCAUGUCGCUUGUGUUCCACUUGCAAGAAAACUUUAGCAAGAGCUUCUGGAGUCUUCCCGGCAUCAUAACCAGCUUUGAAGAAAACCACCCUUUUAUGCUUGACCAAAAAAAGUAUUGCUUUUCUACAGAUUUGAACUCUAAACUCAAUUUCUGACUUCAAGGUAUGUACAAAUGAAUAAAUGUUAACGGUGACAGUUUUCA